AGUUAAUGUAUUAAAAGUGUUUUUGAACUUUAAAGCAUUUCAUAAAUGUUGGUUAUCAUAAAUCAUUAUCACUGUCAUCAAAAACCCAGGCACAAUGACAAGGACAAUCCAGCUAAAUUGUUUACUCAAGUAUUUUUUAUCUCCCUGUUUCUUAAGAGCUUCCCCAACUAACUUCUUCUUUCUUUUGACAAGUCCUAUCCAAAGGAUUUGUUUAUUCAUGCUGAUUCAGUGGAAACAGAAUCAGAGUUGGAACCUCAGAGGUCAUCAAAUCUAAACAAUAUUUGGACAAGAACCCCCCCCCCCCAAAAAAAAAACCAUACAUUAUAAAGGCUCCUCCUUCCUUUCCUGAAAGACCACAAGUAAAAGGGAAUCCACUACCUCUCAAGUUUAAUUGCUCUUCCUUUGGACAGCACUACUGACAUAUCCCAUCCCCCAAGUCCUCUCUUUUUAAACUAAUCUCUACUCAAGUCUAAAUUUACCCAGGCUAGUCAUAUCCAAGAUGACUUGGCUAAAAUGCAAAGGGAUUGCAGGAGAGAGCUGGUUCAUCUGAAAAUCAAUGACUCAGGAAAAGAUUUAAAUUUGAUUGGCCUGUAUCUGUCUGUUUUAAGGGAAGCAGGUCGAGAGAUUGAAGAAGAAGAAAGAGAAGUCUUCAACCAAUGGCUCGAGGAAUGCACCCGAAGAAAAACCAGGUCAGAACGGUCCAUAAACCCGUAAGAAGAGAAAGGUAAGGGAGGAGGAGAAUCAAGGCGAACCAGGAGAACAGUCUGAGGAACAGAGCAGGGAGACCACUAAAAAGCAAAUAGCCAAUUUACAGAAGGAGGUAGAGAGCCUUAAGAAACUUCUGUAAAGCUCUAGUAAUCCAGCAACCUCUUUAGACAGCAUAUCUGAGACCCUAGGAUCACCUGAGGCACUCAUCCCUCAAUUCCCCUUUAAAAUUAAGGGAAGGAACCAAAACAAUGCAGGCAUCUCCUUGGACAAAAACAGAGCUCAGAGCCACGGCCAAGG
rnacentral:lncRNA from 1 species